GCCCGGAGAUAGCUGGUUCUCCCCGAAAUAGCUUUAGGGCUAGCCUCAAGGUGAGAGAUACGGAGGUAGAGCACUGAAUGUCCUAGGGGGUAUUGCACCUACCGAAGACUAUCAAACUCCGAAUGCCGUCAUCUUAUACUUGGGAGUCAGACUGUGGGUGAUAAGAUUCAUAGUCGAAAGGGCAACAGCCCAGAUCGUCAGCUAAGGUCCCUAAAUGUAAGUUAAGUGGUAAAGGAUGUGGGAUUGCACAGACAACCAGGAUGUUGGCUUAGAAGCAGCCACUCAUUCAAAGAGUGCGUAAUAGCUCACUGGUCGAGUGAUCCUGCGCCGAAGAUUUCCGGGGCUAAAACUUACUACCGAAGCUACGGCAUCAGUAAUGAUGGGUAGGGGAGCUUCCCAUACAGGUUGAAGCAUGACCGUAAGGACAUGUGGACAGUAUGGGAGUGAGAAUGUUGGCAUGAGUAGCGAGAUGUGGGUGAGAAUCCCACAGGCCGUAAACCCAAGGUUUCCAGGGGAAGGUUCGUCCGCCCUGGGUUAGUCGGGACCUAAGCUGAGGCCGAAAGGCGUAGGUGAUGGACAACAGGUUGAUAUUCCUGUACUACCGAUAACCGUUUGAGAGAAGGGAUGACACA
rnacentral:rRNA from 1 species